GAAUCACCCCGCCGUCCCGGAACGAGGCACCUUUGAAAGCUACGACGUUUCAAGCCUCGCUAAAUCCCGGACCUGCUAUUGCACCCGGCGAUCCCCCCUUUUUGCACAGCGUUCUUCCGGCUCCGGGCCCGGAUAUUCUCGUCACCCUUGGGCAAGCGAGCUUUUCCUGGGACAUCGCCGGCGACACGCUGCACUGGAGC
rnacentral:misc_RNA from 1 species